rnacentral:rRNA from 1 species
GACGAACGCUGGCGGCGUGCUUAACACAUGCAAGUCGAACGGAAAGGCCCUGCUUUUGUGGGGUUCUCGAGUGGCGAACGGGUGAGUAACACGUGUGUAACCUGCCCUUGUCUUUGGGAUAACUUCAGGAAACUGGGGCUAAUACCGGAUAGGAGCUCCUGCUGCAUGGUGGGGGUUGGUAAGUUUCGGCGGUUGGGGAUGUACUCGCGGCUUAUCAGCUUGUUGGUGGGGUAGUGGCUUACCAAGGCUUUGACGGGUAGCCGGCCUGAGAGGGUGGACGGCCACCUUGGGACUGAGGUACGGCCCAGACUCCUACGGGAGGCAGCAGUGGGGAACAUUGCACAAUGGGCGGAAGCCUGAUGCGGCAACGCCGCGUGCGGGAUGACGGCCUUCGGGUUGUAAACCGCUGUCGACUGUGACGAAGCGUGAGUGACGGUAAUGGGUAAAGAAGCACCGGCUAACUACGUG